AAUUUUUCUCAAUGGGCGAAAGCCUGAAGGAGCGACGCCGCGUGAGGGAUGAAGGGCUUCGGCCUGUAAACCUCUGUCAUUUGCGAACAAACCUUACUCAUGAACAGUGAGUGAGCUGAUAGUAGCGAAAGAGGAAGGGACGGCUAACUCUGUGCCAGCAGCCGCGGUAAUACAGAGGUCCCAAGCGUUGUUCGGAUUCACUGGGCGUAAAGGGUGCGCAGGUGGCCGCGCAAGUUCGAUGUGAAAGCCCCGGGCUUAACCCGGGAAUGGCAUUGAAAACUGCGCGGCUGGAGGAUCGGAGGGGGGACUGGAAUUCUCGGUGUAGCAGUGAAAUGCGUAGAUAUCGAGAGGAACACCAGUGGCGAAGGCGAGUCCCUGGACAACACCUGACACUGAGGCACGAAAGCUAGGGGAGCAAAC
rnacentral:rRNA from 1 species